rnacentral:lncRNA from 1 species
CUUAUGCAAUGGUGUGUGUGGGUCUAUGCUUCUCUUCCACCAGGCGGGGUGGUAGUAUCCUCUGUAAGCCCAGGGAGAACGUUUCUCAUACACCUCGCCCUCCCCCAGGAGACGACUCUUCUCUGCCAGGUACCUGUCACACAAACACCAGCACAACCUAUACUCAGUGCCGGUUUCCCGGACACAGAUUAAGCCUAGUCCUUGGUCUCAAAAGCAUGUGUCUAAAAUGUCCUUUGGUAAAAAUUGUUAUGGUUGAAGAUUUAUAGCCUGGAAAAAAGAUGAAUAUAUAGAUACACACCUCAGAGCCUCCUGCCUAUCCCUCUGUCUCUCAGCCUCCUCGGCGUCGCCAUCCAUCUUCUCCUCCUCAUGUUCGUCCGAAUCGCUCCUUCGUUCCUCGUCUUCCUCCUCUGAGGAAUCCCCAUUUCGUUUGUGAUGCUUCUUGUGGUGGUACCUGUGAGUUGGUUUCCAAAUCCUCUUCUCUCUCUCAUCCUCAUCCUCCUCUCUCUUCUCCUUUCCAUCACCCAGACUCCAGGACUCUUGGCUGCGUUCUUCAUCUGGCUCCUCUCUCCCUUCUUCUGAAAGCUCCUCAUCACGUUUGUGGUGUUUUUUGUGGUGGUAUCUGUGUGUGGGCUUCCAGAUUCUCUUCUCUCUAUCCUCUUCCUCCUCUUCCUCUGACUCAACUGAUCUCUUUUCCUCUGAUUCCUCGUCCGAUGAGUCAGCACCUCGUUUGUGGUGUUUCUUGUGGUGAUAUCUGUGUGUGGGUUUCCAAAUUCUCUUCUCUUUCUCCUCCUCCUCCUCUUCCUCUGAAGGAUCUUCACUGCGUUUGUGGUGCUUCUUGUGGUGGUACCGAUGGGUGGGUUUCCAAAUCCUCUUCUUUCUUUCCUCAUCAUCCUCCUCUCUCUUUUCUUUCUCAUCGCCCAGACUCCAGGACUCUUGGCUGCGCUCUUCGUCUUCUUCAUCUCGUUUGUGGUGUUUCUUUGGGGUGUACCGAUAGGUAGGCCUAUAUCUCUUCUCCUUCUCAUCGCCCAGGCUCCAGGAUUCCUGACUACGUUCCUCUUCUGGCUCUUCUCUCUCUUCCUCUAAACUCUCUUCGUCUCGUUUGGGGUGUUUUUUGGGGCUGUACCGAUAGGUAGGCCUAUAUCUCUUCUCCUUCUCAUCGCCCAGGCUCCAGGAUUCCUGACUACGUUCCUCUUCUGGCUCUUCUCUCUCUUCCUCUAAACCCUCUUCGUCUCGUUUGUGGUGUUUCUUUGGGGUGUACCGAUAGGUAGGCCUAUAUCUCUUCUCCUUCUCAUCGCCCAGGCUCCAGGAUUCCUGACUAUGUUCUUCGUCUGGCUCUUCUCUCACUUCUUCAGAAACCUCCUCAUCACGUUUGUGAUUGGGUUUCUCAUGAUGAUACCUAUGCGUUGGUUUCCAAAUCCUUUUCUCUUUCUCGUAGUUGAGGUCCCAUGACUCCUGGCUGCGAUCUUCGUCCUCCGGUGUCUCUCUCUUCUCCUCCACAGACUUCAGGAGGGCCUCGAUGUCUUUCACGUCGGCGCCUGGUGCCUCAGGCUUAGGUUCAUGUUCUUUGCCCUCCUCUUCAUGGGUCAGCACCUCAUCACUUUUCUUCUCCACAGGAGCAGCAUGUUGGGCACCUGUAGAGGGGGUGGAAGAAGAGACUCUCAAAGGGCAUUCAAUAGUGUGUUGAC